CUAACCCCCUUAUUCUUUCCUCUGUUUUUUUUUCCUCUCCUCUCCACCACCGCCUCAACCAGCGUUCCACCGCUGCGCCGCCGGCUGCCAUCGGCCGUCGCUCGACCGCCAUCUCUACGACCGCCGCCACCACCAACCACUGGAUCCCCGCCGUUUGAGGUACGGCCUCCCUCCUCGUCCGCCUCUCUCUUUGUAUCCCCUCCCAUUCCCUUCCCGCUUCUUGUUUCACUCU
rnacentral:lncRNA from 1 species